rnacentral:lncRNA from 1 species
UUAGAUUAAAAUAAAAAAUGAAUUCUGCAGACAGAACUUUACUUGACUCUCUAACAGAUCCGGCUAGACAUUAUGAAGAGUUUUUGAGAUAUC